AACGAACGCUGGCGGCAUGCCUAACACAUGCAAGUCGAACGAUGCCUUCGGGCAUAGUGGCGCACGGGUGCGUAACGCGUGGGAAUCUGCCUUUCGGUUCGGAAUAACUCAGGGAAACUUGAGCUAAUACCGGAUAACGUCGCAAGACCAAAGAUUUAUCACCGAAAGAUGAGCCCGCGUAGGAUUAGCUAGUUGGUGAGGUAAAGGCUCACCAAGGCGACGAUCCUUAGCUGGUCUGAGAGGAUGAUCAGCCACACUGGGACUGAGACACGGCCCAGACUCCUACGGGCGACAGCAGUAGGGAAUAUUGGACAAUGGGCGAAAGCCUAAUCCAGCAAUGCCGCGUGAGUGAUGAAGGCCUUAGGGUUGUAAAGCUCUUUUACCCGAGAAGAUAAUGACGGUACCGGGAGAAUAAGCCCCGGCUAACUCCGUG
rnacentral:rRNA from 1 species